UGAGGAAUUUUGCGCAAUGGGCGCAAUCCUGACGCAGCAACGCCGCGUGGGUGAUGAAGGCCUUCGGGUCGUAAAGCCCUGUCAGGUGGGAAGAAUGUCCCGGGACUGAACAGGUUUCGGGAGUGACGGUACCACCAGAGGAAGCACCGGCUAACUCCGUGCCAGCAGCCGCGGUAAUACGGAGGGUGCAAGCGUUAUUCGGAAUUGCUGGGCGUAAAGCGCGUGUAGGCGGUCGUGCAAGUCUGAUGUGAAAGCCCCGGGCUUAACCCGGGAAGUGCAUUGGAAACUGCAGGUCUUGAG
rnacentral:rRNA from 1 species